GACAGAGGGUGCAAACGUUGUUCGGAAUUACUGGGCGUAAAGCGAGUGUAGGCGGUUUCCUAAGUCAGGUGUGAAAAGCCCCGGGCUCAACCCGGGAAGUGCACCUUGAAACUGGGAGGCUAGAGUAUCGGAGAGGUUGGUGGAAUUCUCGGUGUAGCGGUGAAAUGCGCAGAUAUCAGGAGGAACACCGGUGGCGAAGGCGGUUCUCUGGGCAGUUACCUGACGCUGGAGGACGAAAGUG
rnacentral:rRNA from 1 species